rnacentral:rRNA from 1 species
ACGGAGGGGGCAAGCGUUGUUCGGAAUUACUGGGCGUAAAGGGCGCGUAGGCGGCGUGACAGGUCAGGCGUGAAAGCCCCGGGCUCAACCUGGGAACUGCGCUUGAUACGGUCAUGCUAGAGGUUGGGAGAGGAGAGUGGAAUUCCCAGUGUAGAGGUGAAAUUCGUAGAUAUUGGGAAGAACACCAGUGGCGAAGGCGGCUCUCUGGCCCAUACCUGACGCUGAGGCGCGAAAGCGUGGGGAGCAAACAGG